ensembl:lncRNA
AAGAAAUACAACUACCAAAUAGAGCUAGCAUAGACAAGACAGAAACAAACAACUGACACACAGACCUUAGGAGGUGGAAAGAGAAAUUGACAAGAUAAAUUUAGAUCAACCUUUUUAAUCUAUCUUCUUCAACAGCGACACAAAGCAUCAACAGUGAUACAUUCACAUAAAAGUGUCACAUACAGGGGAAAGAAUCCAGUGUGUUCUGCUGGACUCCUUGGACUAGUCCCACCACCCAGAGAUCCCACAGAUAACUCAGCUAGGGGUGUGUUCAGAAGGCUAGUGAAUGGUACUGUAACAGCCCAUACGUGUUCUAGAACACACGCCAGGCUUCUAGAAUCUAGAGAAGACAUGGUUGUUGCUAGUGGCUACAUGCAUCAUGUCAGUAGUGACAGAAAGCAAGUGUAGCUAACUAUGUAUAUCAAGUUAAAAUCACUCCACAAUGUAUUAAACCUGUCAUUUCUAUCAGAUCCAAUGGCUGUUAACUUAUUUAGUUGUGUGUUAAAAACAAAUAGGUGUUUUGAGAGAUUUUUUUAGACCACAACAAAACCAAUAACAACUCACAUUCAUCUUAGUACCAUGCAGUAACGCUGUAAUAAACCUCAGCUCUGAAAGAAGGUCGGAGCAGAUUUGGAAUGGAGGAAGGUUUCGUUAACAAAACACAGUGUACAAAACAUUAAGAACCCUUCCUAAUAUUGAGUUGCACUCCCCUUUGACCUCAGAACAGCCUCACUUCAUUGGGGCAGUUGCUUCCCACAGUUGUGUCAAGUUGUCUGGAUGUCCUUUGGGUGGUGGACCAUUCUUGAUACACACGGAAAAACUGUUGAGUGUGAAAAACCCAGCAGUGUCGCAGUUCUUGACACAAACCGGUGAGUCUGGCACCUAUUACCAUACCCUGUUCAAAGGCACUUAAAUAUGUUAUCUUGCCCAUUCACCCUCUGAAUGGCACACACACACACACACACACACACGUUUACAUUUGAGUCAUUUAGCAGAUGCUUUUAUCCAGAGCGACAUGUAGUGGUGAGUGCAUACAUUUUCAUAUUUCGUUUGUACUGGUCCCACGUGGGAAUCGAACCCACAAACCUGGCGUUGCAAGUGCCAUGCUCUACCAGAAAUCCUUCUUCAACCUUCUCCUCCCCUUCGUCUACGCUGAUUGAAGUGGAUAUAACAAGAGACAUCAAUAAUGGAUCAUAGCUUUCACCUGUAGUCACCUGGUCAGUCUGUCAUGGAAAGAGUUCUUAAUGUUUUGUAUACAAGCGCACACACUUCCUCAAAGCACAAUCUUGGUGGCAGUACCAAGAUUACAUUUAAGAUGCUAUAAAUUCAUUUGAUAUACAAUCUCUUAAGUGAAUAUUGUUUCAAACCAGGGCAGUUUAUAGAUGCAACUGAAAAUCUAGAAAACUAUGGCACAAUCACUAACGUGCACGAAAAAUCUAUCCCCCCAAAAAUGUAAUAUAUUAAAUCUAGGAAAAACUAAAAUAGUCCAAAAAAGCAGACUAAAACCUGCACAAUUUAAAUAGUGUAUCUAAAAAAAUAAAAAUAAACUACCUCACUCAUGUGUUUAGCACUUGUGUAAAUUCAAGAGCACAGAGGGUGUCAUUUUGAAAAAGGUUUGAGUGUAAAGAAAGAGAGAAAUGAAUAGGGAAAGAACAGAAAGAGGGGACGAGGGAGGGGAAGAGAAGGAGCGCUCCCAGUGGAUCACCAUACAAGGAGAGGAAACACGCUCAGGUUAGGUUGAGUCAUACACAGGCACAGGCUAAUAUUGAGAAAACAUAACGACCAGACAUCAUCCUACACAUGCAGUACGUACUCAUCCGUGGACAGUUUUGUACAAACCGACACACGCUCCCUCAAAUGUACACCCACUGCUUAUAAAAACCAACAUGAACACACACACUAAAACAUUCAACAGUCUAUAAAUAAGACUAUUCAAAUGAAAAUUCAAGUUUUCACAACAGGCAAUGGACCAUGGCCUAAAGUAGCUUAUACAAAUUAAAUAAAAACAAGGCACCAUUUCUCAUUUGAACCACAACAAGGAAAUCUGAACCAGUAGAUUUGUAAAGAACAGUACUGUAGUAGGUGCAUAGAAACCAAUGGACCUCUGUAUAACUCAAUGAAAGGUCUUGUCUUAAACGUCAGCAGGGGACAGAUGUCCCUCUUCAGGUGUUUCAGUACACAAGAGAUGAAACAGGUUUUAUUCGGGUCAGUACAUCAGGGCAGGAGGUGGGGGUCAGUACACAGCAGGUCCAGUGAAAUUAACUCCUCUGACGGUCUUCCAGUGGAUCUGUACAAACACUCUGACACACGGCAUAAACAAAUACACUCAACCAUAUGUGGAACUUGUGAACCCACACAGGAGAGAGAGAGGUGGAUUGCCAUGGGGGACGCCCUACUCUCCCAAGGAGGACCAGACGAUUAAGUCAGUCAUAUGUGGAACUAGUUAAUGUCAUCUCCACAUGAAACGUCCUUUCUAAAGACAACAUUAUGCAACUACAGACUUUGUAUAAUCUAUCACGAUCACAUAGUGGUUUACAUUACGACUACACAAACCGUGUGAUAAUUGUGAAAUACGUGCUGAACGUAAACUGUGUGAUGAUGCAGCUGUUAUUUGUGUGACCGGUGCAGAUAUUGGGUUCUAAGGGGCUAAACGCUUCACCUGUUGGGGGUUAAUCAGGGUCCUCCUGCCCCCCCUCCCCCUGGCCGGGAUCUCUCUGGGGGCGGGGCAUAGCAGCAGUACCCAGGAGCCCCCUCCUCACAAUGUACGGACAGCCUAGACCACUGGGAAUGUCAGCAAAACCUGGAGAAGAUGGGAGAAGGAGCAAUGUGAACAUUUAGUACUGUUUAUAUAAUGCUAGUGGGAGGUUGUAUGUUUACUAGGGGUGCUAGGAGGAAGACAUACAGAACCAGUCAAAAGUUAACACCUACUCAAUCAAAGGUUUUUCUUUAUUUUGACUAUUUUCUACAUUGUAGAAUAAUAGUGAAGACAUCUAAACAAUUAAAUAACACAAAUGUAAUCAUGUAGUAACCAAAAAUUGGAGAUUUGAGAUUCUUCAAACUAGCCAUCCUUUGCCUUGAUGACAGCUUUGCACACCCUUUGCAUUCUCUCAACCAGCUUCAUGAGACGGGCUGGGUCGGCAGGGAUCGGGAAGGACCCAGAAAACAACAUCCUGUCCCCCUUGGCCUCAGACAUCUGGACUGGUGACACAGGGGGUGAUUCUGUGGGUUCUUCAUCAUUCUCCUCCUCCGUCUGUGUGUAUACGUGGUGUGUUUCUGGUAGGGCGCCUGUUUCUCUCCCCUCUGUCUGAGAGCUGGUACUACUCACCUCUACAGAGCUCAAUCUCUCUUGACCUGUCCAUCCUGCUGGUAUGACCUUUGAACUCAGAACCUUGGUCUCCACCAUCGUUCUCUCAGUUCGCCACUCUGAUGUAGUGGUGACUGUUCUACGGACCGAGGAGUGACUUUUAUUCUCAACACCAGUGGAGAUUGGUACCUCUUGAUGGUGACUGGAAUGGUUGGUUUCAGAGAACUGUGCUUCAGUGGAUUGAGCCUCAGCGAGAGACAGAGUGGGGAACUCUUUGUUAUCUAGUUCUAUGACGUCUAGAUUGUGCUGAUCUGUUGCUCUGGGAGUGUUUGGAUUGGUCUUGUUUUCUGAAUCAUCUUGGUUAGUGUGCUCUGUUGCCUUGGUCUGGAGCUCUGAGAUUUGGUAAACAUCUUUGGUGAUGUCUGCUUCUUCACCAUCUUCCCCAUGUUCAUUGGUCUGUUUUUCCGUCUCUUGGGGAUGUGUAGAUUUGUUCUUUCUGGAUGGGUUUUGGAGACUCUUUGCUUCAGGAGAAUUGCAGUGAUGCAGUCUAGA